UACGUAGGGUGCGAGCGUUGUCCGGAAUUAUUGGGCGUAAAGGGCUCGUAGGCGGUUUGUCGCGUCGGGAGUGAAAACCUUGGGCUUAACUCAGGGCUUGCUUUCGAUACGGGCAGACUAGAGGUAUGCAGGGGAGAACGGAAUUCCUGGUGUAGCGGUGAAAUGCGCAGAUAUCUGGAGGAACACCGGUGGCGAAGGCGGCAUCCUGGGUCGGUAGUUGACGCUGAGGAGCGAAAGCCAGGGGAAGCAAAGCGGGG
rnacentral:rRNA from 1 species